AUUGAACGCUGGGGGCAUGCUUUACACGUGCAAGUCGAACGGUAACAGGCCGCAAGGUGCUGACGAGUGGCGAACGGGUGAGUAAUGCAUCGGAACGUGCCCAGUCGUGGGGGAUAACGCAGCGAAAGCUGUGCUAAUACCGCAUACGAUCUGUGGAUGAAAGCGGGGGACCGUAAGGCCUCGCGCGAUUGGAGCGGCCGAUGUCAGAUUAGGUAGUUGGUGGGGUAAAGGCUCACCAAGCCGACGAUCUGUAGCUGGUCUGAGAGGACGACCAGCCACACUGGGACUGAGAGACGGCCCAGAAUCCUACGGGAGGCAGCAGUGGGGAAUUUUGGACAAUGGGCGCAAGCCUGAUCCAGCAAUGCCGCGUGCAGGAAGAAGGCCUUCGGGUUGUAAACUGCUUUUGUACGGAGCGAAAAGGCUCUCUCUAAUACAGGGGGCUCAUGACGGUACCGUAAGAAUAAGCACCGGCUAACUACGUGCCAGCAGCCGCGGUAA
rnacentral:rRNA from 1 species